UUCGAGGAGGCCAUCUUGAAUGAGACGCGCUGCAAGGUCGCCACCCUAGAUUGCACGGUGGAGGGCAAGAAGCUCUCAGACCGCCACUCCUUCCACAAACUGUGCGUGGGUUCAGCUGCCGCAGCGCAGCGAGACCCUGCAUUUGUGACGUACAGCCAGUUUAUUUCGGUGUUAGGCGAGCAUAAAAUUGACGUACUGAAAAUCGACGUCGAGUCAUUUGAGUUUCCGCUGUUCGGGGAGUGGCGUGAGCACACGCGAUCCCUGCCCGAUCAGAUUGCCGUAGAAGUUCACUGGCAUGAGAUGUACAUGAGGAAUUUUGAGGCAGACCUUCAAUCGCACUGGGGUCGCGGUGAAUUUGGCGUGACGGAUCUGGCGUUGUUCUUCUUCCACCUAGCAAACCUGGGCUAUGGCAUUGUCAGCCAGGAGAUAAACGUUUUGUGUGGGAUGUGCUCCGAAUUCACACUGGUACGGGUUGAGGCAUCAGUGCCGUACGGCGGCAUGGAUCCCGUAUAUUCGGGAUGGCACAGUACCUAAUAAGCUUGCCUUAGUUAGCCUAGGACUGGUUGUCGUGUGAGAUGCAGGGGCUGGGCAAGGAUAUGGUGCGCCAGAAUGUUGAGUGCGUGUGAGGACAUCGACAGUUCACGGGAGGAGCGCUAGUUUAAGUGUUUUUUGAAAUGGCUGCGUAUGGCCAUCCAGCUCCGCCCUUGACUUGUCUCUGAUUAUGGUUGUAAAGGAGACCACCAAAAGGUUGGCCCUGAGGGCCGCUUGAUGUGAUUCCUGAGUGCAGGCCACCUCCAAAACUGGGGCCGGCGGGGUCCGUGUGCGUGACGACCCGAUCGUGUUGUCGCACUCAUGUUGUGAUCCCAGUAGCGUCAGCGCACCUAGUUCGGUUCCGAGAGGCACCGAAGAAAAAUUUUAGGUUCUAUAAAACCUGGAAUAGCUACCCAAAAUACAGAAGGACCCAACAAUUCCUUCUGUUAAGUUAAAAAAAGCGGCAGCUCAUUCAACUGUCGUAGUGCUAAGCUAAUUUGGUGAUUUCCAUUUGGCGAGAGCCAAAAAACGCCUUCGAAAAUUUUGCCUUCGCACAUGCCAGUUGGUGACGGUUCAAGCGGGAAAUAGGUCUGGAUUUUUAGGCUUGGCUGUUACUCUUCCUGCUGUGUAAGGCCCGUGGCAGCGGUACAAUCCUCGCCAAAAAAAUCGUCCAAACCGCGCCGUUCAGCACCAUCGGGUCAGCCAAUCCACAGCCACCAAAGCCAGUUACGGGAGUCAGUAAAACACAGAACACGUGUUCUGAAAAUUGGUGACGGCCAAAAGGCCCACCGCGCACGCGCACAACCGCGCCGUUGAGUCUCAAACCCUUUCCAUAACGCAGCGAAAUGACCACCUAUUGCCUUGGAUGAUUAGUCGUUCAGUCGCACUCCUAAAGCGAGGUACCGUCGGUGCAACCUCUCCCUACAAACCGCAACCACCUGCCGCAGCUCCUCGUACUCAGCAUCGUCACCCGCUCCAUCAUAUCUAUAUGAUAGGAUUAACCAGUCUCAGCGUGAUUUCUUGCUUUUAUGUUGGACCAUUUCUUUAGUUUGCACGGCAUUUGGCGACCAGUCGUACAGGAACCCAGUACCCAUUUCCACGGCGCACCCAAUUGGUGAUUUUCACCAAUUAUAUGUCACCAAAUUAGCUUAGCACUACGGUAGAUUGAAGUGGCAGUUCCGACACGGGAUUCCGUGACGCGUUUCUGCAGCGCGUGACAGAAUGCCGGGGCGCUUAUGAAGUUUUUGUUACGUAUGUAUGCGUUAUUUCAAGUAGAAUGCAGCCAGAGUGCGCUACCAGAAAACGGCGAGCAGGCGCGGCCGUCGUCUACUGGGCACCGACGAAUGUGACGCAAAACGUGAAGCGCAGUCAGCCCCUUAAGGCAAGCUUGCAAAAACAUGAAUAAAAAAGAAGCUCCUCGACGAAACGUGAUGCAAGGACGAGCGACCAGUACACCGUUCAUACGCAUCCAAAAUGCGAACGGCACGGCUGGUAUAAGAUGUUUAACUAGAUGUGCAACGGUUAUUAAUACAAGAAAAUGCUAUAUUAUUUAUGAUUUGCAAGCAGCUACUAGAACAAUGCGUUUGUUGGCUACGAAAGCUACGAAUCGUACAUUUUGGAUACAGCACACAUUUGAUAACUCACCAGGCAUUAUCAUGGAUAACAGCAGUAACCCGAUGAAAAGAAAGUAGCGAGCAGCGCUCCAAAGAUGACCCAUGGGUCAUCCGUUGCCCGACCGAGAACAGCGAAAGCAUCAAUCAUCUUUUGGAGCCAUGGCACCGGAGCCAUGGCUCCGGUGGCCACCGGCAUAUGCGGUUGCGUGUCUACUACCAGAGCACCUUGAGCUGUAGGUCAAAAAUUGCAUGUAAUCGUUUACUAAGCUUCUACACGUAAGCUAUUAUACAUGAACACAUGGCAUGGAGUAUAGGUGUUUAGUAUACAGGAUUGUACGGCAUGGAUUGACUGUGAACGAGUCGCACAGACGAGAAGGUAGGCGGAGUAGAAAGCGGUCUCACCGGCAGCCAGGAUGAUCAGCAUUCCAGCGGAAGGUGGUGCAGAGUAAGUGUUCGCGCAUCGCAGCAAUUUUUUUAUGAUAGCUUGAUGAUCGAUCGCACAGCGCGAUAAUGUACUUGCCAAGGAUUUCAGACUCACAUAAGUACUUUGUUUAUUACAAAGCAGGUAAAAGGAGUAGUAAACAGCUCGGCGACUUCGCCCCGACAGAGAUCGAGCCGCGCAAAAAUGACUAGGAGAUCUUCCGAUAAUUAUAAGUGCCCUAAACGAAAGAGAUCACGUAUUUGGCAGCUUGGAAAUGACUAGCGAAACUCUCCCUAUAGGGUGUUUGUACGACACGGAUAAAAAUGAGUUGCGAAGGUGAUCGAAGGUAAUAAAGGCGGGGGCAA
rnacentral:lncRNA from 1 species